AAUAGAUACCCCGGUAGUCCACGCCGUAAACGAUGAGUGCUAAGUGUUAGGGGGUUUCCGCCCCUUAGUGCUGCAGCUAACGCAUUAAGCACUCCGCCUGGGGGAGUACGGUCGCAAGACUGAAACUCAAAGGAAUUGACGGGGGGCCCGCACAAGCGGUGGAGCAUGUGGUUUAAUUCGAAGCAACGCGAAGAACCUUACCAGGUCUUGACAUCCCACUGACCGCUAUGGAGACAUAGCUUUCCCUUCGGGGACAGUGGUGACAGGUGGUGCAUGGUUGUCGUCAGCUCGUGUCGUGAGAUGUUGGGUUAAGUUCCGCAACGAGCGCAACCCUUGAUCUUAGUUGCCAUCAUUUAGUUGGGCACUCUAAGGUGACUGCCGGUGACAAACCGGAGGAAGGUGGGGAUGACGUCAAAUCAUCAUGCCCCUUAUGACCUGGGCUACACACGUGCUACAAUGGACGGUACAAACGGUUGCCAACCCGCGAGGGGGAGCUAAUCCGAUAAAACCGUUCUCAGUUCGGAUUGUAGGCUGCAACUCGCCUAC
rnacentral:rRNA from 1 species